rnacentral:rRNA from 1 species
GACGAACGCUGGCGGCGUGCUUAACACAUGCAAGUCGAACGGAAAGGCCCUGCUUUUGUGGGGUGCUCGAGUGGCGAACGGGUGAGUGACACGCGAGUAAACUGCCCUUGUCUUUGGGAUAACUUCAGGGGACUGGGGCUAAUACCCGGUAUGAGCUCUUGCUGCGUGGUGUGGGUUGGAAAGAUUCGGCGGUUGGGGAUGGACUCGCGGGUUAUCCGCUUGUUGGUGGGGUUGUGGCUUACCAAGGCUUUGACGGGUAGCCGGCCUGAGAGCGUGAACGGCCACAUUGGGACUGAGAGACGGACCAGACGCCUACGUGAGGCAGUAGUGGAGAAUAUUGCACAAUGGGCGGAAGCCUGAUGCAGCAACGCUGCGUGCGGGAUGACGGGCUUCGGGUUGUAAACCGCUGUCUAAGGUAACGAAGAGUGAGUGACGGUAAUGGGUAAAGAAGCACCGGCUAACUACGUG